rnacentral:rRNA from 1 species
CGCCUCUAGAAACUUUAUUGGAGGUCCAUUCUGCCCCAUGCAUUAGUAAAUGGCCGCGGUAACCUGACCGUGCUAAGGUAGCAUAAUCACUUGCCGUUUAAUUGAUGGCUAGAAUGAAUGAAUAUACGAAAGCUCCGCUGUCUCGCCCUAACCCUUAAAAAUUGGCCUUCAAGUGAAGAGACUUGAAUUAAACAAAAAGACGAAAAGACCCUAUAGAGCUUAGCUUAACACUUAACCCCACUGAAAGAAAGCUUAGUUGGGGCAACUAGAGAAAAACUAAAACCUCUCUUAGAUCCAGAAAAACUGAAAAAUAGAAAAAGCUACCUUAGGGAUAACAGGCUAAUCUUGUUUGAGAGACCAUAUUGACAACAAGGCUUGGCACCUCGAUGUUGGCUCAGGAUUUCACUUUGAUGCAGCAGUCAAAGAAUGAAGGUUUGUUCUCCCUUUAAUAUCCU